GGGAUAGAUGACUAUUGAAAAGAUAGUUCAGUAAGUAAAAUGGAUGAAUAGUUAGGGAAAGCAGUUUUCAUUAGAGAUGUAGCAGUUGAUAUCUUGUGGUAGCAUAAGGAGGAUGGGAGAGAGGAAGUAAGGGCUAGACUGUGAUAGUGUGAGUCGGGGUGAGCUUAGUGCUACCUCUUUUCUUUUGUUUGUUAUUUUCUUUGAAUAAGAAGAUUAAGAUUUUCUGAAUAUUGUGAAAGUGAAUUAUGGAAUGGAAGUAUGAUUGUUAUUAAAUGGGAAGAAGAAAGAUUGAAUGCUGAAAUCUGAUUGUAGUUCAGCAC
rnacentral:lncRNA from 1 species